rnacentral:lncRNA from 1 species
CAGUGCUUGGCUUCUAGGACUUCACCCCAAAAUGAAGGGAUCCGGCUAAAAUUGCACAAGGCUUUUCAGAAGAGGUUGAGCAACCACAGCUGCCAAACAAUGACAUUAAGUCAGCUGGAAUUGCUGCUCAAGGAGAAAAGUAUGCUGACCAGGGUAAUAACAGAUACCACAUGCAGGGGUAGUAAUUAAUUUCAGGCUGAGAGGAGGAGCAGACAGCAAAAGCUCAGUGUCCUCAGCAGUCACAGACAUGCCUCUCCAGCCUUCUUCAAAAGCACUUCUAUGAAGGGAGAUGUGAGGGGAUGAUUUCCUGCAGCAUUUCCAGUCUGUUUUCAGAACAAGUAUUUUCAUGGGUGAGUUUUGGGCCUG